rnacentral:rRNA from 1 species
AUUGAACGCUGGCGGCAUGCCUUACACAUGCAGGUCGAACGGUAACGCGGGGCAACCUGGCGACGAGUGGCGAACGGGUGAGUAACGCAUCGGAACGUGCCCAGUAGUGGGGGAUAGCCCGGCGAAAGCCGGAUUAAUACCGCAUACGACCUACGGGUGAAAGCGGGGGAUCGCAAGACCUCGCGCUAUUGGAGCGGCCGAUGUCAGAUUAGGUAGUGGGUGGGGUAAAGGCCUACCAAGCCGACGAUCUGUAGCUGGUCUGAGAGGACGACCAGCCACACUGGGACUGAGACACGGCCCAGACUCCUACGGGAGGCAGCAGUGGGGAAUUUUGGACAAUGGGCGCAAGCCUGAUCCAGCCAUGCCGCGUGCGGGAAGAAGGCCUUCGGGUUGUAAACCGCUUUUGCCAGGGAAGAAACGCUCUGGGCUAAUACCCCGGGGUAAUGACGGUACCUGAAGAAUAAGCACCGGCUAACUACGUGCCAGCAGCCGCCGUAACAC